AUUUUUCCUUUUUAGGGCCUCACCCACGGCAUAUGAAUGUUCCUAGCCACAGCAACACCAGAUCCGAGCCGCAUCUGCGACCUAUACCACAGGUCACAGCAACACCAGAUCCUUAACCCACUGAGCGAGGCCAGGGAUCGAACCCACAACCUCAUGAUUCCUAGUCAGAUUCGUUUCUGCUGCACCACAACGGGAACUCCGAUUUCUGUUUAUUUUCGGUUAUACCCCUGUCCUUCCAAUAAACUAGAGGAUGUCCUCCAAGAAAAGCCUACUAAAGUAAGACCUCACCUAGUGGUCAUCCCUCCUUUCAAGAGUUGAAUCUGCUCCAAUAUCUGUCUGCUUUUGUUUACUCAUCAGUCCCUUCUUGGUCCUUUCUCUAGUGUUGUCUGCAGUGUGAUUUGUCAACACAAGUAUUUCUGACAUUGCUAUAGCUAGAAGCUUUAUCUAUUUAUUUUCAUUUGACUUUUCUAUUUAGUUUUUUGCUUUUUAGGGCCACACCCGUGGCAUAUGGAAGUUCCCAGGCUAGCUAUCAGAGCUACAGCUGCUAGCCUACACCACAGCAACACAGGAUCCAAGUCAUGUUUGUGAUCUACACCACAGCUCACAGCAACACCAGAUCCCUGACACACUGAGCGAGACCAAGGAUUGGACCCACAUCUUCAUGGAUACUAGUCAUAUUUGUUUCUGCUGCGUCACAAUGGGAACUCCCUGGUUCAUUUUGCUUUAUUUUUUAAUUGACUAUUUUUAGAGCAGUUUUAGUGGUUCAGAGGAAACAAAUCUGACUAGUAUCCAUGAGAAUGCAGGUUUGACCCCUGGCUUUGCUCAGUAUGUUAAGGAUCCAGCAUUGCUGUGAGCUGCAGUGUAGCUCACAGAUGUGGCUCAGAUCUGGUGUGGCUGUAGCUGUGGUGUAAGCCAGCUGCAAUUCAACCCCUUUCCUGGGAACCUCCAUAUUAUGUGGGUGCAGUAUGACAUUCUUAUUAUGUGUAUUGCAUGAUACCUAGAGAGACAGGAGACUUAGCCAUCCAAGGUAAAAAUUUUUGGCUACGGUCAUGACAUCAGUAUAGGUAUAGAACUUUAAUCUCAAACAAAAGCAAGACAAGCCUUCAGUGUUAUAGGGAGUGACAAACUACAACUUGUAUAAUUGGGAGGUAUGUGCUGUUAUUUGAAGAUCACAAACCACCAUCAAAAUAUUAAUUUAUUAGAUGAUUUUCAGUAUUCUUUACUGCUAAAUUAUCCUAAAGAAGACAUGUGGAUGUAACUAAAGUCUUCAUAAAUAAGACAAUCCAAGCAAUUGUCUAAUUAUAUUGUGACCAAAAUAAUAAAAUAACAAUUGUCCUAAAAAUUAGAGAAUCAUAGCAUACUAGUAACGCUGUUUUCUAAAGAAUUAUAGAACAUUACUCAAGUACUUCUGAAUUGCUCAAUAAGAGUCAAAGCUUCUAUGUAAUGGAGAAUGUUAGCCCCAUUUAUAGGUAUUUCUAAUAAAGUGUAUUGAUCUUCCUGGGUAAUAAAAUAUGUUUCUAAAAACUGAAAAUGAAAAUUUUCCUUCAUGUCCAGGAGUAUAGACCUCUGACUUUCUCUUAAAGCAAUGCAAAAUGGAGCAAAGGGCAGUGAUUAAGAGUAUGGAUUCUGGAGCCAGACUCCAGGGGCUUUAAUACUGGCUCAACCACUUCCUAGUAAUACGAAAUCUGUCAAAUAAAUUACUCCCCCUAUGCUUCUGUUCUCCAUCUAUAAAAUGUUGAAUAUAAUAGUAUCUACAUCAUAAGGUUGAUGUGAGGAGUUAAUGAGUUAGCAUUUAGAAUGAUUAUGGACACAUAAAAAGCACUAUACAAGUAUUACAACCACUAUAAUUUUGUGAAAUAUUUCAAAUAAGUGGAUUUAAUGUCACCAUCUUCUAAAGAUUUAGAAGGUUUUGAGACAACUGAAAAUGUCAUGUCAUGGUUGGCUUUAGCACUCAUCUAUCUAGAGCCUGCAAGCCCUAUUUAAUAGUAAAUUAAUAGUAAAUAUUUUCAUAGCUUCUCAAAAAAUUCAACUUUGCUGAAGAAAAGAUUUUAUACAUUAUUCUUUCAUUCAAUAUUUGUUGGUGGCCUAUUCUUGGAGCAUGAGAAAAUGGAGUCCAAAUAUAUAAUUCAAAAAAUAAAUUAUACAAUAUUUUGUGCUAAGAAGAUAAAAGGAUAGAAUGUAGAAUGUGAUAGGAGUGAAAAUAAUCACAAUUAUAAAUAGCCAUGUUUAUGAAGGAAUGUCAGUCUUACUAGUGAUUUUAUGUCAUUUGUCAUUAAUUCUAAUUUGUUAUAUAUGAUUUAUAAAGUAAGUAAUUUUGGGGGUAACAACAUACCCCUUAAAACGAAUCUGGGUAUGAUUGCUAGGUCUGAAAAUUAUUAAAUAUGUGAUUUGUAUGAUUACUUAAUUUCUGUAGGUUCAAUUUCACCAUUCUCCAAAGUAGGAAGAACCUAUCACAUACAGGUUUUUGUGGCAGUCAAAUAAGUAGAGAUGAAAAACUUAUUGUGGGACCUCUAACUGCAAAUAUGCCACUGUCUUUUGGAGAACCCUAAUGGUUUCCUCUUGAGAAGGCUAUAGUUACUCAUUAAAAAAAAAAAAAAAAAGUUAUUUAACCCUUUAAUUCUUUGGAGACUAUUUAAGCACUUUCAUUUUAUUUAUUUAUUUUUUGUCUUUUUGUCUUUUCUAGGGCCACACCCAUGGCAUAUGGAGGUUCCCAGGCUAGGGGUUGAAUUAGAGCUACAGCUGUCGACCUACGCCAGAACUACAACAACACAGGAUCUGAGCCGAGUCUGCGACCUACACCACAGCUCAUAGCAACACCAGAUCCUUAACCCACUGAGCAAGGCCAGGGAUCAAACCUGCAACCUCACGGCUCCUAGUUGGAUUUGUUAACCACUAAGCCACAACAGGAACUCCUAUUUAAGCACUUUUAAAAUGACUCGUUCAAUUCUCAUAAUCACCCAAUUAGUAUGUAUUGUUCUUCCCAUUUUAGAGAUGAGAAACUGAAGCACAGAAAGGUUAACUAUUUUGUCCAAAGUGACAAGACCAGUAAGUGGCAGGGAAGCUAUUCCCUGGUAAGUGUUCUUAAACUUUAUCUUGUUCAGAACUGCCCCCUGGUCUUGGGAGACUAAUCAGGAAAAGGCACCAUAUCUUUCCUGCUGAUAUAGUCCUUUGCUAGACCACAGGAUCUGCUGAUUUCAGUGCCCUAUAAAUUUGCUCCUGCUUUAGGUAUUCUCUUGAUCCCUGGGAAUAUAUUACAUAGUUCUAAGCCACCCUCCCUUUUCACCUGCCAUGUAAUGAUCUUUUCUUCUUGUGAGAGACAUGAAUAGUAUUAUACUUGAUCCUAAACAAAGCAUGUCAAAUGCUAAUGCAUCCUCUAGUUUUUGUCAUUCCUUAUUUGGAAUAAGGGCUAUAUAUACACUUGAGGGAGAAUGAAUAACAGAUGUAAAUUCGACGCUUAAAGUUCCUUGUGUUUAAGCAUUUUGCUGUUUCAUUCUUUUGACUUAUGUCUCCUCUAUUUAGAAGAGUCAUCUCUUGGAUUUAAGGUUAAUUAACAUCAACAGCAUGAGAAUAAUAUGUCUUUGCUUAAACAACAUCUACUAGAUAUGAGCCCUGGGGAGCCUGAGGCAAGAGUUGAACACCAGUUACUAUCUCGGCCUUUUCUGCUACAGAGAAAGUUAAAAAGAAGGUCGUCUUCCUCUUUCUUCUAUGCCAGUAGCUCUGAACUCUGCCUCUAAAUUAUAAUAUUAUGGAAUAUGUUUUUGUUUGUUUGUUUUUGCCAUGGCAAACACCAAUCUAUUUAAAUAGGAAUUUCAGAAAUGGGGCCUGAGCAUAAAUUUCUUUAAAAAGUUGUCCAGGUGAUUUUAUAGUUCAAUCAGAGCUGAGAAUCACUGAUCCAGAAAGUAAAGGCUGGAAACUUUGUCAGCAAUCCUGAACUGUGGCCCUCUUCAGUUGAAGCCUCUCAUAUUCAGCCACAGGAUCAUCCUAAGUCCAUAUUAGUUAAGAAUUGCUUAUAAGAGGGUGAAAUAUUUGGUGUAAUCCUUUGAACAGUCUCUCUGCCGGUGUCCCCAAAUUCAUUUAAUCAUCAUUAAAAGGAUGAACGUGCCAUCUAGUCCAGGUAGGUGUGCCACCUCUAAUUUCCUACAACAAAGUUCUUAGUGUAAUGCUUAGCCCACAGUGUGUCUGUAAUAAACAAUGGUAGUAUGGAGUUCCCGUGGUGGCACAGCAGAAAUGAAUCUGACUAGGAACCAUGAGGUUGUGGGUUCAAUCCCUGGCCACUCUCGGUGGGUUAAGGAUCCAGCGUUGCCAGAGUUGUGGUAUAGGUCGCAGAUGUGACUCAGAUCUCACACUGCUGUGACAUAGGCUGGCUGCUACAGCUCUGAUUAGACCCCUAACCUGGGAACCUCCAUAUGUCAUGAGUGCGGCCCUAAGAGGACAAAAAAGAAAAAAAAAAUUGUAGUUAUAAGCAGUGCCCAAGAAAAUUUCUCUUAAAUGUGUGUAUUUUCUAUUAUUAAAUAAUGAUGGUUACAUAAGAAUUUAUAAUUCCUUUCUGUUUUAUGUGCCAAAUAAGUGAAAGGGAAAUUUCAGGGAGCCAGUUACAUCUAUGCUCUUUGUUCAUUGUUGGAUGUUCUGGUUUUGUACAUACUUUGUUUGCUCAUUUACAACAUGGUUGACUUUGAAAUCAGAUUAUAUACCAUGGAAUAUGGAUAUAUAAAUUAUACACUGAGCUCAUGCCAUCAAAUAUUUUUGUCUCAUUAAUUUUAAUUUUGUGGUCAUUUUACAUGCAAGUCUGAUAUUACAAAGAAGAGAGAUCAGGGAUGUUGGCACAAGGCAGAUGAGACUUAAAGCUGGACCAUUAUGAUUGAAGAAAUGUCCAAGCUGUACACAAGUUCAAAUAAGGGAGAAGAGUUAGUUGCAUAUUUUAAAAAAUAACAAUUGAGAUGAGCCUUAAAGAAUGCAAUAUUGGGACACAUAGCCAGUUUGGGGGCUGUAUUUUAUCUUAUUUUUCUUUUAAAGCUGUUGAGCUUAUUGUUUAAAUUUUUAUUAGAGUAUGGUUGACUUAUAGUGUUGUAUUAGUUUCAGUUGUACAGAAAAAUGAUUCCGUUAUACACAUAGCCAUCCUUUUUUACCAUAUAGGUUAUUACAAAAUAUUGAGUUGAUAUCCUUAUUAUAUACAAUAGAUCCUUGUUCACCAUCUAUUUUAUGUAUAGAAGUGUGUAUUUAUUAAUCACACUCUUAAUUUAAUCCUCCCCUCCAUUUU
rnacentral:lncRNA from 1 species